rnacentral:rRNA from 1 species
GGGCCCGCACAAGCGGUGGAGCAUGUGGUUUAAUUCGACGCAACGCGAAGAACCUUACCUGGGUUUGACAUGCAUCGGACCGGUGGUGAAAGCCAUCUUCUCUUCGGAGCUGGUGCACAGGUGCUGCAUGGCUGUCGUCAGCUCGUGUCGUGAGAUGUUGGGUUAAGUCCCGCAACGAGCGCAACCCUCGCCCUCUGUUGCUACCGGGUCAUGCCGGGCACUCUGAGGGGACUGCCCCGGUGAACGGGGAGGAAGGUGGGGAUGACGUCAAGUCCUCAUGGCCUUUAUGUCCAGGGCUACACACGUGCUACAAUGGUCAGGACAAUGGGUCGCUCCCUCGCAAGAGGUUGCCAAUCUCAAAAACCUGAUCCUAGUUCGGAUGGUCGGCUGCAACUCGCCGGCCUGAAGCUGGAAUCGCUAGUAAUCGGAGAUCAGCACGCUCCGGUGAAUACGUUCCCGGGCCUU